UACGGGGGGAGCAAGCGUUGUUCGGAUUUACUGGGCGUAAAGGGCGCGUAGGCGGCCUCCGCAAGUCAGUUGUGAAAUCUCCGAGCUUAACUCGGAAAGGUCAACUGAUACUGCGGGGCUAGAGUGCGGAAGGGGCAACUGGAAUUCUUGGUGUAGCGGUGAAAUGCGUAGAUAUCAAGAGGAACACCUGCGGCGAAGGCGGGUUGCUGGGCCGACACUGACGCUGAGGCGCGAAGGCCAGGGGAGCAAACGGG
rnacentral:rRNA from 1 species